CUUAAUCCAGACCUACAGCAAAAAGGAUUCAUGAGCUCUGAAUUUCAAAAAUAUGAUGGAUUUAUUCUGCUUGAAAAUAACAUUCUUAGGGAUGAAAGACAUUUGGGAAAUCCUGGAACAAGAAAUUAUCCAACCUCUACAAAGCAAUUAGCAGUCAAUCAAAGUAUAUUUAUUUGCUUUUCAUAAAAAAACCCGCUUCAUUGUUUACAUGACUGCAUUGAAUUUUUAUGAAGCCCAUAAUAGAAACUUACUGACUCAUCGACAGAGCUUGAAUUGAUUCAGAAAAUACUGUGAUAAAAAUCUCAGCUUGGUAUUUUUGGCCUUCUCAUAGAGGAAAGGAUCUCAGCAGCUCUUUAAAACAAAUCCUGAAAACAUAGUCCAUUACUUGAGAGUUUGUUUUUUUGUUUAUAGCCAUCCUGUAUCUGGGUUUUGCCCUGUAUUAAUCAUUUAGUGGCAUCCUUUGGUCUGCCUUGAAACAACAAACAGACGAUGCAAAUUGCAACCACAAAGUUCAUUUAACAAACACUGGGAAGCAAAUGAAUCACAGGACCAUUGGAAGAUGGAUUUUUAACUUGUAACUGAAGCACAAAAUAAGACUUGUGUCUAAGCCAGCAGCCUUUCUCCUUUCACAGAAGAUGUGAAAUGUGUUCUCUCCCCUUGGCAAUGAGCCACAAGACACUGGGGGAGCCAGUUUGGUUUAAUUCGAAGUCACCUGAAGUCUUGUUUGAAGUUCAUUAGGGCAAUCCAAUUUAAUCCCACAAACAUUUAUAGAGCUACCUCAUGCACGGAUAUAUGUGUGCUGAGGUCUAUGGGAGCCACAGUGAGGCUUGAGACACCAGCGCAUCUGCUUAGAAUUCAGAAGACUGGCAUCCCCAACAUCAUUAUACAACCUUUAUCCUAAUUGGUUUCAGUGACCCUAUGAAAUUGAGUAGACAUGGCACCACCUUGAAAACCCAAACAAGUCUGAGCAGCCUAGUUCCUGGAACUUCUGAAAUCUCCAUAUUCUAGGUAAAAACUAGAUAAGGAAAAGUCAAGUAUUUAACACAUGAUUCACUUUGGAAACUCCUUUCUCAGACAUUGAUUUUAUAGUUCUAUAGUGUUUAUGCCAGUGUGUUUUCUCUGUGAUAAUAAUUUACUAAGUUUUACUAAGCCUAUUUAGAUUUAUUUAGACUGAAUUAAUUUAAUU
rnacentral:lncRNA from 12 species